rnacentral:rRNA from 1 species
AUUUAGAGACCGGCGCACGGGUGCGUAACGCGUAUGCAAUCUACCUUUCACAGAGGGAUAGCCCAGAGAAAUUUGGAUUAAUACCUCAUAGUAUACUGAGUUGGCAUCAACAUGGUAUUAAAGUCACAACGGUGAAAGAUGAGCAUGCGUCCCAUUAGCUAGUUGGUAAGGUAACGGCUUACCAAGGCUACGAUGGGUAGGGGUCCUGAGAGGGAGAUCCCCCACACUGGUACUGAGACACGGACCAGACUCCUACGGGAGGCAGCAGUGAGGAAUAUUGGACAAUGGGCGCAAGCCUGAUCCAGCCAUGCCGCGUGCAGGAUGACGGUCCUAUGGAUUGUAAACUGCUUUUGCACAGGAAGAAACACUGAUUCGUGAAUCAGCUUGACGGUACUGUGAGAAUAAGGAUCGGCUAACUCCGUGCCAGCAGCCGCGGUAAUACGGAGGAUCCAAGCGUUAUCCGGAAUCAUUGGGUUUAAAGGGUCCGUAGGCGGUCUAGUAAGUCAGUGGUGAAAGCCCAUCGCUCAACGGUGGAACGGCCAUUGAUACUGCUGGACUUGAAUUACUGGGAAGUAACUAGAAUAUGUAGUGUAGCGGUGAAAUGCUUAGAGAUUACAUGGAAUACCAAUUGCGAAGGCAGGUUACUACCAGUGGAUUGACGCUGAUGGACGAAAGCGUGGGUAGCGAACAGGAUUAGAUACCCUGGUAGUCCACGCCGUAAACGAUGGAUACUAGCUGUUGGAAGCAAUUUCAGUGGCUAAGCGAAAGUGAUAAGUAUCCCACCUGGGGAGUACGUUCGCAAGAAUGAAACUCAAAGGAAUUGACGGGGGCCCGCACAAGCGGUGGAGCAUGUGGUUUAAUUCGAUGAUACGCGAGGAACCUUACCAAGGCUUAAAUGUAGUUUGACCGUUUUGGAAACAGAACUUUCGCAAGACAAAUUACAAGGUGCUGCAUGGUUGUCGUCAGCUCGUGCCGUGAGGUGUCAGGUUAAGUCCUAUAACGAGCGCAACCC